rnacentral:rRNA from 2 species
UACACAUGCAGUCGAACGGCAGCACGGGAGCAAUCCUGGUGGCGAGUGGCGAACGGGUGAGUAAUAUAUCGGAACGUGCCCAGUCGUGGGGGAUAACGCAGCGAAAGCUGUGCUAAUACCGCAUACGAUCUAUGGAUGAAAGCGGGGGAUCGCAAGACCUCGCGCGAUUGGAGCGGCCGAUAUCAGAUUAGCUAGUUGGUGGGGUAAAGGCCUACCAAGGCGACGAUCUGUAGCUGGUCUGAGAGGACGACCAGCCACACUGGAACUGAGACACGGUCCAGACUCCUACGGGAGGCAGCAGUGGGGAAUUUUGGACAAUGGGCGCAAGCCUGAUCCAGCAAUGCCGCGUGCAGGAUGAAGGCCUUCGGGUUGUAAACUGCUUUUGUACGGAGCGAAAAGGUUGUCUCUAAUACAGAUGGCUCAUGACGGUACCGUAAGAAUAAGCACCGGCUAACUACGUGCCAGCAGCCGCGGUAAUACGUAGGGUGCAAGCGUUAAUCGGAAUUACUGGGCGUAAAGCGUGCGCAGGCGGUGAUGUAAGACAGAUGUGAAAUCCCCGGGCUCAACCUGGGACCUGCAUUUGUGACUGCAUCGCUGGAGUGCGGCAGAGGGGGAUGGAAUUCCGCGUGUAGCAGUGAAAUGCGUAGAUAUGCGGAGGAACACCGAUGGCGAA